rnacentral:rRNA from 1 species
UACCGGGUCCGGACACACUGAGGAUUGACAGGUAUUAUAUAGCACGUACUUUUGUGCGUGUCUAUUGUUAAAUAUGCUAGUCCUUUCAUGAUUAUGUGAUAGGUGGUGCAUGGCCGUUCUUAGUUCGUGGAGUGAUCUGUCUGCUUAAUUGCGUUUCAGAUAAGGAUCUAUAUUCUUUACAAGUGUCGCAGUGUAAAUUGACCCCUCUUUCACG